UCAAGCUACCAAGGGCACACGGUGGACGCCUAGGCAGUCAGAGGCGAAGAAGGACGUGGGCAGCUGCGAAAAGCUCCGGGGAGCCGCUAACAGGCAUUAAUCCGGAGAUCUCCGAAUGGGAAAACCCACUGGCGACGAGCCAGGGACCUGGCAACAGGUGGCCAACGCAGGGAACUGAAACAUCUAAGUACCUGCAGGAAAAGAAAGAAACCUCGAUUCCCCCAGUAGCGGCGAGCGAAGAGGGAAAAGCCCAAACCGAGGAACGAAAGUUCCGAGGGGUUGUAGGGCCCGCAACAUCCGAAGGGAUCGCAGUCGAACGGCAUGGAAAGGCCGGCCAAAGAGGGUGACAGCCCCGUAAGCGAAACGAGAACGUAGGUAGCGGGUACCUGAGUAUCGCAGGACACGUGCAAUCCGGCGAGAAUCUGCGGGGACCAUCCCGUAAGGCUAAAUACUACUGACUGACCGAUAGUGAACGAGUACCGCGAGGGAAAGGUGAAAAGCACCCCGGUGAGGGGAGUGAAAGAGGUCCUGAAACCGUGUGUCUACAAGCAGUUGGAGCACUAUGCCGCAAGGCAGUGCGACAGCGUACCUUUUGCAUAAUGGGCCUGCGAGUUACGCUUCGUGGCGAGGCUAAGCCGAUAGGUGGAGCCGUAGGGAAACCGAGUCCUCACAGGGCGACGAGUCGCGGGGCGUAGACCCGAAACCUUAGCGAUCUAUCCAUGUCCAGGUUGAAGGCGGGGUAAAACCCGCUGGAGGACCGAACCCACCAUAGUUGAAAAUAUGGGGGAUGAGGUGUGGAUAGGAGUGAAAGGCUAAUCAAGCUGGGAGAUAGCUGGUUCUCCCCGAAAUAUAUUGAGGUAUAGCCUCGGACGAAUGCCGCCGGAGGUAGAGCACUGAAUGGGCUAGGGGUCCUACCAGAUUACCAAACCCAAUCAAACUCCGAAUGCCGGUGAGCAGUAUCCGGGAGUCAGACAGCGAGAGAUAAGUCCCGUUGUCGAGAGGGAAAGAGCCCAGAUCGUCAGCUAAGGUCCCAAAGUCCGAACUAAGUGUCAAAGGAUGUGGAGACGCUCAGACAACCAGGAGGUUUGCUUAGAAGCAGCAAUCCUUUAAAGAAAGCGUAAUAGCUCACUGGUCAAGCGGCUCUGCGCCGAAAAUACAACGGGGCUAAGUUCGGCACCGAAGCUACGGGCUCCAUUGGAGCGGUAGGGGAGCAUUGUCAGGGAGAUACGAGCCAGACGGAAACGACUGGGGUUGGCCCUGACAAGAGCUUAUGUAGACAUGAGUAGCGAAAGACGGGUGAGAAACCCGUCCGCCGAAUGACCAAGGGUUCCUGGGCCAGGCUAAUCCGCCCAGGGUAAGUCGGGUCCUAAGAUGAGGGCGACAGCCGUAAUCGAUGGACAACUGGUUGAUAUUCCAGUACCGGUUUUAUAUCGCCCAUGCUGAAUCAGUAACGCUAAGUGUUUGAAGUUGGGUAGAGAUACCUGAUGGAGCGCACGACCCAAGCUGGUAGUAGGCAAGCAAAGGAGUGACGCAAAAAGGUAAUCCAACCCAGGCGAUGGUUGUCCUGGGGUAAAUGUGUAGGAGGUUCAGUAGGUAAAUCCGCUGAACAUAAUCUGAGACAUUACGCCGAGUCGUAAGACGAAGUGGAUGAUCCUAUGUUGCCAAGAAAACCUUCUAGCGAGAUUUAUAGCGGCCCGUACCCGAAACCGACACAGGUGGUCUGGUAGAGAAUACCAAGGCGAUCGAGAGAAUCGUGGUGAAGGAACUCGGCAAAAUACCCUCGUAACUUCGGGAGAAGAGGGGCUGAUUGUUGUGUAGAAGUUUUCCUUCGAAGCAUUAGUUAGACGCAGAGAAUAGGCUCAAGCGACUGUUUACCAAAAACACAGGUCCGUGCGAAGUUGUAAAACGAUGUAUACGGACUGACGCCUGCCCGGUGCUGGAAGGUCAAGGGGAUUGGUUAGCUCUUCGGAGCGAAGCUGAGAACUUAAGCCCCAGUAAACGGCGGUGGUAACUAUAACCAUCCUAAGGUAGCGAAAUUCCUUGUCGGGUAAGUUCCGACCUGCACGAAUGGCGUAACGACU
rnacentral:rRNA from 1 species